AUACAACUGCUGAAAACUACAGUGAAAAUCUGGGGUGUUAAAACCAGAGAGCUGCUCCGACAUCCAAGCUUUAAGUGUAGGACAAAGUUUCUACAAAUACUAGGAACAAUGCUGAGAAAAAAAGAGAUAUUCCAUAAUAGAGAUGGAUUUGUGUACUAUGAGAAUGAGGCCCCUCCUACUUGAUGUUAUUCAAGUGGGAAUAGGCAAACUGCGAGUCUUCAAAUACACAGCCCAAUAUAAAAUUUGACUGUUCAGGAAUUGUGUGAUCUUGAUAAACUACUUUAUUGCAAGAUUUACCUUGCCAGAUUGUUAUGAAAAUAGGAAAUAUAUGUAAAGGGUCCAAUACAAAGCCCGGCAGAUGGCAGCUUCGUAAACAUGGUAGCUAUAAUUCUUUCUUUUUUUCUUUUAACGUCCCUUAAAGUUGUUUCUGUCAUAUCACUAUUCUAGAUUUCCAAUUCCAGUCAAUCUAAAAUCAUUACAAUUAGUUAGAAAUAUAUGGUCUUCAAACCAUUGCUCUGUAACAAAAGGACAUUAGUCUCACUGCCAGCUCUCUUCCCAAUUCUUCAAAAUACUGGUAAAAACUGUGAACUUCUUGUUAAUGUAGGAAUACUCUAACAACAUGCAACUGUUAAGCCACAAACUUAUUAAGGUAUCUUCUAUAGGGGAUGUGAAAAUACAACAGCUGAGCUCAAUCACCCAAGACUAUAAAAUAUUUACCUCGUAUCUAAGGUCUUCCAAAAAGCAAGAAGAAAACUUACCAAAUAAAAUAAAUAAAUAAAACUCAUUCUAUCUUGCAACUAUCAUUUGGUCCAUUAGACCCUUUUAUAAUAAAACCUAAGAUACACUAUGGGAUUUCAGUGUUCUUACUUUUCCUAUAUCUCAUAAUACUAUUUCAUAAUCUCAUCUUACUAUUUCAUCAAUUACUCAUUAUUACUCAUCAAUUAUUCCAAGCCCUGUUAAACAAUCUUAAAAUAAUUAAGAAAAAAAAAAAAAAAGAUGGAAUCACAUAUA